rnacentral:rRNA from 1 species
UGGGGAAUAUUGCACAAUGGGCGAAAGCCUGAUGCAGCGACGCCGCGUGAGCGAUGAAGGCCUUCGGGUCGUAAAGCUCUGUCCUAUGGGACGAUAGUGACGGUACCAUAGGAGGAAGCCCCGGCUAACUACGUGCCAGCAGCCGCGGUAAUACGUAGGGGGCGAGCGUUGUCCGGAAUUACUGGGCGUAAAGGGUGCGUAGGCGGCUUAGUAAGUCAGGUGUGAAAGGCAUGGGCUCAACCCAUGUAAGCACUUGAAACUGCUUAGCUUGAGUUAAGGAGAGGGAAGCGGAAUUCCUGGUGUAGCGGUGAAAUGCGUAGAUAUCAGGAGGAACACCAGUGGCGAAGGCGGCUUCCUGGCCUUGGACUGACGCUGAGGCACGAAAGCGUGGGGAGCAAACAGG